ACGGAGGGAGCUAGCGUUGUUCGGAAUUACUGGGCGUAAAGAGUACGUAGGCGGUUAUUCAAGUCAGAGGUGAAAGCCCGGGGCUCAACCCCGGAACUGCCUUUGAAACUAGGUAGCUAGAAUCUUGGAGAGGUCAGUGGAAUUCCGAGUGUAGAGGUGAAAUUCGUAGAUAUUCGGAAGAACACCAGUGGCGAAGGCGACUGACUGGACAAGUAUUGACGCUGAGGUACGAAAGCGUGGGGAGCAAACAGGAUUAGAUACCCUGGUAGUCCACGCCGUAAACGAUGAUAACUAGUUGUUCGGGCACUUGGUGCCUGAGUGACGCAGCUAACGCAUUAAGUUAUCCGCCUGGGGAGUACGGUCGCAAGAUUA
rnacentral:rRNA from 1 species